AGGAGGGUCGGAAGUUCAGCAACUACCCUCGUGAACGGUUCGACGAUUUCCGGUCGGCUGCGAAAGUGGAUUGCCAUUCGUGACAAUAAAUUAUUUCACGCCCGUUAAAGCAACCUUUUUUGUCACGACGGAACGUUACGAAAGAGGAAAUCGUAAAACGAGCUGUGAAACGAUCCGCGAUGUUGUAAGCCCGUGCUUCGCUUCUUCGAAGGCUUAUUUCUUCGAGAAGAAAGAAACCGAUUGUACCAAGAAAAAUGUCUAUCGAUCAGUGUUUGGUAUAAUAUCGAUCGUAACUUACGAUUAUCUUUCGCCUCUCUCAUAACUAAUCCAUUCCAUUAUUUUUAAAUUGUCAUCGUUGUUACCUAAACGAGGCUCGAUAAGCCCUGAAACCUGAUUUUCAGUAGAUUAUGGUUUUCGAAUAAUUUCAGCUUUACUUAGAUAUCGAUCUCCUCUCGUAUAUCUGACAAUUCAUUUACGGUAUCGCUUUGGAAUUUGUCAAGUUACUCCAACUCCGGUAAACAAGGAAAUUUUCUACCAACGUUCCAAGCCAAAGGAUAUGAAAUAGAAGACUUGCAUAAUAUUUUCUACUUGUAGAAUAUAAUUAACGUAAUUUCAAUAAUCGACCAUUGAAUGUACGUAUCGUGUCACCUAACGCAUAUUCACAGGCUGUGAACAAUCGAGAAACAGGUCGUACGAGUUCGCGUAUAUUUCUGACGCACUGCAAACAGGAACGUAAUAUGUUUCGAUUAAUUGGCCUUGCCGUAAUGGUGCCACCGUCUGAUUCAUUAUCCACGUCGACCGUUCGACGACAGAAUAAUCGCGUGUUUUACAACGUCGCUGGAUUUCGGGUUUAAACAACGAACCGGAGAAAACCGGUUGGCUUUUCACAGACUUCCACCCUAUUCACCCCUUGUUCCGUUGGUUUCUUGUAUUUUCCUCCUAUCAUUUAAUAGGAUAUUUUCGAUUCAGGCGACUUCGUGAAGCGUGUUACUUGUCUUUUAUUCUAGUCCACUCUUAUUUGAAAACGAACGCUGUUCUGUACAUCUAAGUAUCUUCGUGAACGUUUAGAUAUUAUUAUUAUUGCCACGAGGUGUAGAGUAUUCGAAGAAAGUAUUCGAAUACUCGCAGAAACGUCUGACGAAUAAAUAUUUACGAUUAUCUUCCAGCUCUCUUAUAAAUAAUCCAUUGGAUUGUUUUUAAAUUGUCAUCGUUGUUACCUAAGCGAGGUUCGAUAUGCCUCUGAAAUUACUUUGAAAUAAAUCUAAAACAUUCUGAAAUUUCAUAAAGAAUAUAACCUAACAAACACGAAGAUGGUACCCCGCUGGGGGUAGCCACCCACAUGAUAAUCAAACAGCUAAAAAAUUCUACCAAAUGUCCAAAUUGGACAAAUUGUGAAUGUGAAAUAUUAAAUAAAAAAAAAAAUAAAUUCUAAAAUUUCAUAAAAGCCAAAACCUAGAAAAUGUGAAAUUAAACGUAUCCAUGUGAACUUUGAUUCUCUGAAUUUUACGUUGAACCGGUUUGUACAGUAAGAAAAAACUAAAUAUUUUCUCAGCGAGACGAAGACGAAUCCUUUCCUGCCGAGCCAACUAAUUACGAGAAAACGUAUUUGAAUCGUCGAUGAAGUUUUACGCGGUACAAGAAAGUGGUAAAAUUUUCCAUGACAAAUAUGGAUACCUUCGUAGAAUAUUUACACAGAAAUCAUUGUUCUCUGUGAGAUUAAUUUCUAAGGGUUGUAAAUAGCAGAGGUGUAAAAUAUAUUAAAAUUACACGAGAAGAAGUAACCGAAGGCAAACGAAACGAAUUAACUUUUGUCGGUCUAACAUGCGUUCUGUUCACGAGCCGGAUAAGAAACUCGUUCCAUUUCGGUUCAGAUAGACGAGUUGUUGCUUGAACAAAUAACUGAUUCACGAAAGUACUAGCGGAAAAGACAAUGGCACGCGAGCCAAGAUCGUCUCGAGCCGUUUCCUCGUCUCGUGUAUGCCCUCGAAACGGUGAAAGCGACUAACAAAGAACCGUGUUGUAAUUAUUUUAGCAAGGAAAGCCCGUGCCGCGCGAAAUCGCUGCAAUCGAAAGGAUAAUUCACGAAUUCGCCAGAUAACUAUUCAUCGUAAUCGAAAAUUAAAUGGCCACUUUUUAAAAAAGGAAAUUUAAUUACUUAUUUUGUUACAUUUGGGAAAAUAUUCUGCAAACAAUUCGUACGUUUUAUAUACAAACACAAAUUGUUGCUAUGUUAUUUAUCGUUUAUCUACGAUAAAAUUAUCCCAAACAAAGAUUCAUUGGUAUUAAAUAAAAAGCCAAUUGAUGCGAGAAGAA